AAUCUUGCGAAAUGGGCGAAAGCCUGACGCAGCCAUGCCGCGUGAAUGAUUACGGUCAUAGGAUUGUAAAAUUCUUUCACCAGGGACGAUAAUGAAGGUACCCGGAGAAGCAGCCCCUGCUAACUUCGUGCCUGCAGCCGCGGUAAUACGAAGGGGGCUAGCGUUGCUCGGAAUUACUGGGCGUAAAGGGCGCGUAGGCGGACAUUUAAGUCAGAGGUGAAAUCCCAGGGCUCAACCCUGGAACUGCCUUUGAUACUGGCGAUCUUGAGUAUGAGAGAGGUAUGUGGAACUCCGAGUGUAGAGGUGAAAUUCGUAGAUAUUCGGAAGAACACCAGUGGCGAAGGCGACAUACUGGCUCAUUACUGACGCUGAGGCGCGAAAGCGUGGGGAGCAAACAG
rnacentral:rRNA from 1 species